GCCAGCUUAGCAUAGUGGUUUAAGUGUUAGACUAAGACUCUGGAGACCAGGAUUUGAUUCCUUACUUGGCC